GGCUGACGGCAGCUACACAUGCAGUCGAGCGGAUGAGAGGAGCUUGCUCCUCGAUUCAGCGGCGGACGGGUGAGUAAUGCCUAGGAAUCUGCCUAGUAGUGGGGGACAACGUUUCGAAAGGAACGCUAAUACCGCAUACGUCCUACGGGAGAAAGUGGGGGAUCUUCGGACCUCACGCUAUUAGAUGAGCCUAGGUCGGAUUAGCUAGUUGGUAGGGUAAAGGCCUACCAAGGCGACGAUCCGUAACUGGUCUGAGAGGAUGAUCAGUCACACUGGAACUGAGACACGGUCCAGACUCCUACGGGAGCCACCAGGGGGGAAUAUGGGAAAAGGGGCGAAAGCCUGAUCCAACACAUACCGCCUCUGGAAAAAAACCCCUCGGGUCGGAAAGCACUUUAACUUGGAAGAAAGAGCACAUAGCGAAUACCGGUAAGUUUUGAAGAUAACAACAGAAUAAGCACCGGCUAACUUCGUGCCACCACAAGCCGGAAUACGAAGGGUGCAAGCGAUAAUCGAAAUUACUAGGCGUAAAGCGCGCGUAGGUGACUCAAUAAAGUGAAAGGGAAAUCCCCAGGCUCAACCCGGGAACGCAACCCAAAACCGUCGGGCUAGAGCGCGGUAGAGAGUAGUGCAAUGUCCAGGGUAGAGCUGAAAAGAGAAGAUAUGGAAAGAAACACCAGGGGAAAACCCGACCACCGAGACUCACACCAACACCGAGGUAAGAAAGCGGGGGGAACAAACAGGAGAAAAUACCCUAGUAGUCCACCCCAUAAACAAUGUCAACAAGCCGGUGGGAUCCCCGAGAUCUUAGGGGAGCAAACAACCCAAUAAGUUCACCCCCUGGGGAGUACGCCCACAAGGGUAAAACUCAAAAAAUAUACACGGGGGCCCGCACAACCCGCGGAGCAUAUGGUGUAAUUCGAAACAACGCGAAGAACCUCACCUGCCCCUUGACAUCCAGAAAACUUUCCAGAAAAGCAAUAGUGCCUUCGGGAACCCAAACACAGGUGCGCAAUGGCGGUCGUCAGCUCGGGUCGUAAAAUGUGGGGUUAAGUCCCCAAACGAGCCAAACCCUUGUCCUUAGUUACCAGCACGCAAUGGGGGGCACAAAAAAGAGACUGCCGGUGACAAACCGCAGAAAGGUGGGGAUGACGUCAAGUCAUCAUAGACCUUACGGCAAGGCCAAAACACGUGCUACAAUGGUCGGUAAAAAAAAAAGGCAACCCCGAGAGCAGAGCUAAUUCCUAAAAACAAUCGUAAUCCGGAUCGCAUUGCAACUCGACUGCGUGAAGUCGGAAUCGCCAGAUAUAACCGGAAUCAGAACGUCACGGUGAAUACGUUCCCGGGCCUUGUACACACCGCCCGUCACACCAUGGGAGUGGGUUGCUCCAGAAGUAGGUAGUCUAACCUCCGGAGGGCGCUAACACGCAUGAUAAUGGG
rnacentral:rRNA from 1 species